rnacentral:rRNA from 2 species
GGUUAAGCGAACAAGCGUACACGGUGGAUGCCCUGGCAGUCAGAGGCGAUGAAGGACGUGCUAAUCUGCGAAAAGCGCCGGUAAGGUGAUAUGAACCGUUAUAACCGGCGAUGUCCGAAUGGGGAAACCCGGUGCACUUCGGUGCAUCAUCGUUAGCUGAAUACAUAGGCUAACGAAGCGAACCGGGGGAACUGAAACAUCUAAGUACCCCGAGGAAAAGAAAUCAACCGAGAUUCCCCCAGUAGCGGCGAGCGAACGGGGAACAGCCCAGAGCCUGAAUCAGCUUGUGUGUCAGUGGAACGGUCUGGAAAGGCCGGCGAUACAGGGUGACAGCCCCGUACACGAAGGCACACAGGCUGUGAGCUCGAUGAGUAGGGCGGGACACGUGAUAUCCUGUCUGAAGAUGGGGGGACCAUCCUCCAAGGCUAAAUACUCCUGACUGACCGAUAGUGAACCAGUACCGUGAGGGAAAGGCGAAAAGAACCCCGGCGAGGGGAGUGAAACAGAACCUGAAACCGUGUACGUACAAGCAGUGGGAGCCUUCGUAAGAGGGUGACUGCGUACCUUUUGUAUAAUGGGUCAGCGACUUAUAUUCUGUAGCAAGGUUAACCGUAUAGGGGAGCCGAAGGGAAACCGAGUCUUAAUUGGGCGUUAAGUUGCAGGGUAUAGACCCGAAACCCGGUGAUCUAGCCAUGGGCAGGUUGAAGGUUGGGUAACACUAACUGGAGGACCGAACCGACUAAUGUUGAAAAAUUAGCGGAUGACCUGUGGCUGGGGGUGAAAGGCCAAUCAAACCGGGAGAUAGCUGGUUCUCCCCGAAAGCUAUUUAGGUAGCGCCUCGUGAACUCAUCUCCGGGGGUAGAGCACUGUUUCGGCUAGGGGGCCAUCCCGGCUUACCAACCCGAUGCAAACUGCGAAUACCGGAGAAUGUUAUCACGGGAGACACACGGCGGGUGCUAACGUCCGUCGUGAAGAGGGAAACAACCCAGACCGCCAGCUAAGGUCCCAAAGUCAUGGUUAAGUGGGAAACGAUGUGGGAAGGCCCAGACAGCCAGGAUGUUGGCUUAGAAGCAGCCAUCAUUUAAAGAAAGCGUAAUAGCUCACUGGUCGAGUCGGCCUGCGCGGAAGAUGUAACGGGGCUAAACCAUGCACCGAAGCUGCGGCAGCGACACUGUGUGUUGUUGGGUAGGGGAGCGUUCUGUAAGCCUGCGAAGGUGUGCUGUGAGGCAUGCUGGAGGUAUCAGAAGUGCGAAUGCUGACAUAAGUAACGAUAAAGCGGGUGAAAAGCCCGCUCGCCGGAAGACCAAGGGUUCCUGUCCAACGUUAAUCGGGGCAGGGUGAGUCGACCCCUAAGGCGAGGCCGAAAGGCGUAGUCGAUGGGAAACAGGUUAAUAUUCCUGUACUUGGUGUUACUGCGAAGGGGGGACGGAGAAGGCUAUGUCGGCCGGGCGACGGUUGUCCCGGUUUAAGCGUGUAGGCUGACUUUCCAGGCAAAUCCGGAAAGUUAAGGCUGAGGCGUGAUGACGAGGCACCACGGUGCUGAAGUGACAAAUGCCCUGCUUCCAGGAAAAGCCUCUAAGCAUCAGGUAACAUCAAAUCGUACCCCAAACCGACACAGGUGGUCAGGUAGAGAAUACCAAGGCGCUUGAGAGAACUCGGGUGAAGGAACUAGGCAAAAUGGUGCCGUAACUUCGGGAGAAGGCACGCUGACAUGUAGGUGAAGCCCCUGCGGGUGGAGCUGAAGUCAGUCGAAGAUACCAGCUGGCUGCAACUGUUUAUUAAAAACACAGCACUGUGCAAACACGAAAGUGGACGUAUACGGUGUGACGCCUGCCCGGUGCCGGAAGGUUAAUUGAUGGGGUUAUCGCAAGAGAAGCUCCUGAUCGAAGCCCCGGUAAACGGCGGCCGUAACUAUAACGGUCCUAAGGUAGCGAAAUUCCUUGUCGGGUAAGUUCCGACCUGCACGAAUGGCGUAAUGAUGGCCAGGCUGUCUCCACCCGAGACUCAGUGAAAUUGAACUCGCUGUGAAGAUGCAGUGUACCCGCGGCAAGACGGAAAGACCCCGUGAACCUUUACUACAGCUUGACACUGAACAUUGAGCCUUGAUGUGUAGGAUAGGUGGGAGGCUUUGAAGCGUGGACGCCAGUCUGCGUGGAGCCGACCUUGAAAUACCACCCUUUAAUGUUUGAUGUUCUAACCUGGCGCCGUGAUCCGGCGUGGGGACAGUGUCUGGUGGGUAGUUUGACUGGGGCGGUCUCCUCCCAAAGUGUAACGGAGGAGCACGAAGGUCAGCUAAUCCUGGUCGGACAUCAGGAGGUUAGUGCAAUGGCAUAAGCUGGCUUGACUGCGAGAGUGACGGCUCGAGCAGGUGCGAAAGCAGGUCAUAGUGAUCCGGUGGUUCUGUAUGGAAGGGCCAUCGCUCAACGGAUAAAAGGUACUCCGGGGAUAACAGGCUGAUACCGCCCAAGAGUUCAUAUCGACGGCGGUGUUUGGCACCUCGAUGUCGGCUCAUCACAUCCUGGGGCUGAAGUAGGUCCCAAGGGUAUGGCUGUUCGCCAUUUAAAGUGGUACGCGAGCUGGGUUUAGAACGUCGUGAGACAGUUCGGUCCCUAUCUGCCGUGGGCGCUGGAGAAUUGAGGGGGGCUGCUCCCAGUACGAGAGGACCGGAGUGGACGCAUCACUGGUGUUCGGGUUGUCAUGCCAAUGGCACUGCCCGGUAGCUAAAUGCGGAAGAGAUAAGUGCUGAAAGCAUCUAAGCACGAAACUUGCCCCGAGAUGAGUUCUCCCUGAGACUGUAAGUCUCCUGAAGGAACGUUGAAGACGACGACGUUGAUAGGCCGGGUGUGUAAGCGCAGCGAUGCGUUGAGCUAACCGGUACUAAUGAACCGUGAGGCUUAACCUU